ACCUCAGACAUACACUAUUAUUCAAACGUUUAAGGGUCAGAUUUAUCAUGUAUUUACAUUUACAUUUAUUCAUUUAGCAGACUCUUUUAUCCAAAGCGACUUACAGAUUAAGACAGUGGAAGCAAUCAAAAACAAGAGCAAUGAUAUAUAAGCAAUGUUAUAGUGCUAUAACAAGUCUCAGUUAGCUUAACACGGUACACAUAGCAUGGGAUUUUAAAUAAUAUAAUAAAUAAAGAGAAAACAGAAUUAAAAAAAAGAGUAGAACAAGCUAGUUAGAGGUCUUUACUCGUACACACACACAUACACACAAUUGCAUAAUAAAUGUAAAGAAAAUAUAAUACAAAAAGAUUAGAAAGGUAGUUAGAUUUUUUUUAAGAAUAGAAUUAGAAUAGUGAGUGUUAAAGUUAGAGGAUCAAAUAAAGGUGGAAGAGAAAUAGAAAAUAUUAUUUAAAAAUGUAUUUAAAAUAAAUCUUUUAUGCUCACCACUGCUGCAUUUAUUUGAUUAAAAUACAGUAAAAUAGUAAUAUUUGAAAUUACUAGGGGUGUCCUUGACUAAGGUUUUUCAUAGUUGAAUCAGAAUUUUUGAAUCUUGCCGAUAUUCGACUGAUAGUCUAAUCAUAUGUUUGGGGGCAGAAUACAUUGAGUCAAGUCUGACAUUCGACAGUCAUAAUUACUGAUCUUAACACACUGGUAAAAUGUGUUAUGAACACCUCGCAGAUAUAAACGGGGUAAAUAAUAGUUCAUCAUUGAUGGAUCUUUUCUAUUUCAGAGACUGAAAAUCAUUGAUAAACCACAAGAGUUUAGCUCUAAGCCCAGUUAAGCAGACCUGAGCAGCUGAUCAAGGAUCAGCAGAAACUCUGCAGAACGGUGCUCCUCCAGCCCAGGACUGGACACCAGUGUUAUGCUGCAGAAAAAAGAGCGAGGCUAAAGCAUUCAAAGUGGAAACAUCUGCCUUGGCUCAUUAAUCCAGAAUUGGGAUGGAGGAAGGAGCAGAAGAUCAGAGAUCAGGCAGAGAUCUACUGGUGCCCCUGUGGGAACCCCAUUUACCUAAUGUGUUAGUUUAACCAAAGAUUUUCCUCACUCACCUUUAUGUUGUUCCAAACCAGACUUUUGUUCAUCCUUGAAACAUAAAUGCGGAACUUUUUAAUGAAAUCUGAGAUUAUUUUCUUUAUAUAAAAUAACACAUUCACACAAGCACCAUGAUGCAUCAGUGUUGCAUUGGCGUGAGAGCUGGCGCUUUUGGUGCUUUUGUGAAAAUCCAUUGGGGAGUCAUAAUUUCUGAAUAGAUUAUUUUUGCUGUUGUUAUUGUUUGUUUGUUUUUUUUUGUACACAAGGCAUCUGUUAAAAAAAUAUCUUAAUUUGUGUUCUGCACAAAAGGGUGUUAUGGGUUUGGGGCAACAUGAGGGUAAGUAAUUAAUGACAGAAUUAAAAUUUUUGGUUGUUCUAAUGUGGUUAUA